GUGACUAUGCUGGCUUCCCUGGUUGUGGGCUGCUUCGUCUCCAUAGCACUUUCCGCCACGAUCUCAAGAUCUAUGCCUCUGAUGAGGGUCGUGUUCAGAUGACUGCUGCUGCCUUCGCCAAGGGCCUUCUGGCUCUAGAAGGGGAGCUGACACCCAUUUUGGUGCAAAUGGUGAAGAGUGCCAACAUGAAUGGGCUACUGGACAGCGAUGGGGAUUCCUUGAGCAGCUGCCAGCACCGGGUGAAGGCUCGGCUGCACCAUAUUCUACAGCAGGAUGCGCCCUUUGGCCCUGAGGACUACGAUCAGGUCAGGCUCAAAAAUAGCCUGGAUCCCCAAUUCCUAGAAUUCUAAAUAGUAGGGAUCAAUAAUAACAGUAUUUACUGUAUGCCAGGCACUGUUUUAGUUAUUUUACACAUAUAUUAUUUAAUCCUUACAGCAACCCUUUGAGAUAAGUACAGGUCCACAAUCUCUUAUGCAUAAUUUUGAAAAUUAAAAAGAUUUUUUUCUUG
rnacentral:sRNA from 1 species